rnacentral:rRNA from 1 species
GAUGAACGCUGGCGGCGUGCCUAAUACAUGCAAGUCGAGCGAACAGACGAGGAGCUUGCUCCUCUGACGUUAGCGGCGGACGGGUGAGUAACACGUGGAUAACCUACCUAUAAGACUGGGAUAACUUCGGGAAACCGGAGCUAAUACCGGAUAAUAUAUUGAACCGCAUGGUUCAAUAGUGAAAGACGGUUUUGCUGUCACUUAUAGAUGGAUCCGCGCCGCAUUAGCUAGUUGGUAAGGUAACGGCUUACCAAGGCGACGAUGCGUAGCCGACCUGAGAGGGGGGACGGCCAAACUGGAACUGGGAACCCGUUCAAAAUCCCAAGGGGGGGCAGAGGAGGGGAACUUUCGCAAAUGGCGGAAGCCCUACGGAGCAACGCCGCGUGGGGGAAUAAGGGCUUUCGAUUGUAAAACUCUGUUAUUAGGGAAGAACAAAUGUGUAAGUAACUAUGCACGUCUUGACGGUACCUAAUCAGAAAGCCACGGCUAACUACGUG